rnacentral:rRNA from 1 species
AUUGAACGCUGGCGGCAGGCCUAACACAUGCAAGUCGAGCGGAUGAGGAGAGCUUGCUCUCUGAUUUAGCGGCGGACGGGUGAGUAAUACCUAGGAAUCUGCCUGGUAGUGGGGGAUAACGUCCGGAAACGGGCGCUAAUACCGCAUACGUCCUACGGGAGAAAGCAGGGGACCUUCGGGCCUUGCGCUAUCAGAUGAGCCUAGGUCGGAUUAGCUAGUUGGUGAGGUAAUGGCUCACCAAGGCUACGAUCCGUAACUGGUCUGAGAGGAUGAUCAGUCACACUGGAACUGAGACACGGUCCAGACUCCUACGGGAGGCAGCAGUGGGGAAUAUUGGACAAUGGGCGAAAGCCUGAUCCAGCCAUGCCGCGUGUGUGAAGAAGGUCUUCGGAUUGUAAAGCACUUUAAGUUGGGAGGAAGGGCAGUAAGUUAAUACCUUGCUGUUUUGACGUUACCGACAGAAUAAGCACCGGCUAACUUCGUGCCAGCCGCCGCAGUAAAAC